GAUGAACGCUGGCGGCGUGCCUAAUACAUGCAAGUCGAGCGAACAGACGAGGAGCUUGCUCCACUGACGUUAGCGGCGGACGGGUGAGUAACACGUGGAUAACCUACCUAUAAAACUGGGAUAACUUCGGGAAACCGGAGCUAAUACCGGAUAAUAUAUUGAACCGGAUGGUUCAAUAGUGAAAGACGGUUUUGCUGUCACUUAUAGAUGGAUCCGCGCCGCAUUAGCUAGUUGGUAAGGUAACGGCUUACCAAGGCAACGAUGCGUAGCCGACCUGAGAGGGUGAUCGGCCACACUGGAACUGAGACACGGUCCAGACUCCUACGGGAGGCAGCAGUAGGGAAUCUUCCGCAAUGGGCGAAAGCUUGACGGAGCAACGCCGCGUGAGUGAUGAAGGUCUUCGGAUCGUAAAACUCUGUUAUUAGGGAAGAACAAAUGUGUAAGUAACUAUGCACGUCUUGACGGUACCUAAUCAGAAAGCCACGGCUAACUACGUG
rnacentral:rRNA from 1 species